GACGAACGCUGGCGGCAUGCCUAAUACAUGCAAGUCGAGCGAACAGAUGAAGUGCUUGCACUUCUGACGUUAGCGGCGAACGGGUGAGUAACACGUAAGGAAUCUACCUAUAAGCGGGGGAUAACAUUCGGAAACGGGUGCUAAUACCGCAUAAUAUCUUCGUCCGCAUGGAAGAAGAUUGAAAGACGGCUCUGCUGUCACUUAUAGAUGACCUUGCGGUGCAUUAGUUAGUUGGUGGGGUAACGGCCGACCAAGACGAUGAUGCAUAGCAGACCUGAGAGGGUGAUCGGCCACAUUGGAACUGAGACACGGCCCAAACUCCUACGGGAGGCAGCAGUAGGGAAUCUUCCGCAAUGGGCGAAAGCCUGACGGAGCAAUGCCGCGUGAGUGAAGAAGGCCUUCGGGUCGUAAAACUCUGUUAUAAGAGAAGAACAAAUUGUAGAGUAACUGCUACAGUCUUGACGGUAUCUGAUCAGAAAGCCACGGCUAACUACGUGCCAGCAGCCGCCGUAA
rnacentral:rRNA from 1 species